UGGGGAAUAUUGCGCAAUGGGGGCAACCCUGACGCAGCAACGCCGCGUGCAGGAAGAAGGUCUUCGGAUUGUAAACUGUUGUCGCAAGGGAAGAAGACAGUGACGGUACCUUGUGAGAAAGUCACGGCUAACUACGUGCCAGCAGCCGCGGUAAUACGUAGGUGACAAGCGUUGUCCGGAAUUACUGGGUGUAAAGGGAGCGCAGGCGGGAAGACAAGUUGGAAGUGAAAUCUAUGGGCUCAACCCAUAAACUGCUUUCAAAACUGUUUUUCUUGAGUAGUGCAGAGGUAGGCGGAAUUCCCGGUGUAGCGGUGGAAUGCGUAGAUAUCGGGAGGAACACCAGUGGCGAAGGCGGCCUACUGGGCACCAACUGACGCUGAGGCUCGAAAGUGUGGGUAGCAAACAGGAUUAGAUACCCUGGUAGUCCACACCGUAAACGAUGAUUACUAGGUGUUGGAGGAUUGACCCCUUCAGUGCCGCAGUUAACACAAUAAGUAAUCCACCUGGGGAGUACGACCGCAAGGUUGAAACUCAAAGGAAUUGACGGGGGCCCGCACAAGCAGUGGAGUAUGUGGUUUAAUUCGACGCAACGCGAAGAACCUUACCAAGUCUUGACAUCCCUUGACAGACAUAGAAAUAUGUAAUCUCUUCGGAGCAAGGAGACAGGUGGUGCAUGGUUGUCGUCAGCUCGUGUCGUGAGAUGUUGGGUUAAGUCCCGCAACGAGCGCAACCCUUAUGGUCAGUUACUACGCAAGAGGACUCUGGCCAGACUGCCGUUGACAAAACGGAGGAAGGUGGGGAUGACGUCAAAUCAUCAUGCCCUUUAUGACUUGGGCUACACACGUACUACAAUGGCGUUAAACAAAGAGAAGCAAGACCGCGAGGUGGAGCAAAACUCAGAAACAACGUCCCAGUUCGGACUGCAGGCUGCAACUCGCCUGCACGAAGUCGGAAUUGCUAGUAAUCGUGGAUCAGCAUGCCACGGUGAAUACGUUCCC
rnacentral:rRNA from 1 species